rnacentral:tRNA from 1 species
GGAGGGCUGCCAGAGUGGUUGAAUGGGACGCUCUCGAAAAGCGUUGAGCCUGAAAAGGUUCCGUGAGUUCAAAUCUCACGCCCUCCG